GGGUUGAUGCUUCUAUGGGUCUCAAUAGAUCUCAAUGGAAGUCAAUGGGUCUCUAUGGGUUCCUUAUGGGGUGGCUGUAGGGCCAGAUGGUUAUGGGGCGGUUAUGGGGCGGUUAUGGGGUCCCUAUGGGGUCUCUAUGGGGUCUCUAUGGGGCUGAUGCUUCUAUGGAUCUCCAUGGAUCUCAAUGGAUCUCAAUGGAACUCAAUGGAUCUCUAUGGAAGUCAGUGGGUCUCUAUGGGUUCCUUAUGGGGUGGCUGUAGGGCCAGGGGGUUAUGGGGCGGUUAUGGGGUCUCUAUGGGGUCUCUAUGGGGCUGAUGCUUCUAUGGGUCUCCAUGGAUCUCAAUGGGUUUCUAUGGAUCUCAAUGGAACUCAAUGGAUCUCAAUGGAAGUCAAUGGGUCUCAAUGGAAGUCAAUGGGUCUCUAUAGGGUCUCUAUGGGGCGGCUAUGGGGCAGUUAUGGGGCAGUUAUGGGUCUCUAUGGGGUCUCUAUGGGGUCUCUAUGGGGCAGCUAUGGGGCUGAUGCUUCUAUGGGCCUCCAUAGAUCUCAAUGGGUUCCUAUGGAUCUCAAUGAACUCAAUGGCUCUCUAUGGGGUCUCUAUAGGGCAGCUAUGGGGUGGCUAUGGGGCAGCUAUGGGGUCUCUAUGGGGUUCCUAUGGGGUCUCUAUGGGUCUCUAUGGGUCUCUAUGGGGUCUCUAUGGGGUCUCUAUGGGGCUGAUGCUUCUAUGGGUCUCCAUGGAUCUCUUCUAUGGAUGUCAAUGGAACUCAAUGGAUCUCAAUGGAAGUCAAUGGGUCUCAAUGGAAGUCAAUGGGUCCCUAUGGGGUCUCUAUGGGGUCUCUAUGGGGCAGCUAUGGGGCGGCUAUGGGGCAGCUAUGGGGCGGCUAUGGGGCAGCUAUGGGUCACACCUUUCCGGGCGGCAGCAGCACCCUGGCUGCGAUGUCCCAGGUGUGUGAAAAAACCACGGGGCUGAAGUGCGACACGAAGGGUUUGUGGCGCCCGCCUUCCUGGGCGCUCAGCACGUACACCUGGGGGCCGGCGGACGGACGGACGGACGCUGACGGACCGGCGGACGGACGCCAGGCAGACCCCACAGCUCACCCCAAUAAGGACCCCAGGAACAACAGCCACCCCACAAACACAGAACCCCACAAAUGACCCCAGAAUCCCAGAAUCCCAUGGCUGACCCCAUAACCGACCCCAUAACCCCAUAACCGACCCCAUAACCCCAUAACCCACCCCAUAACUCCACAACCCACCCUAGAACCCCAGAACCCAUAGGUGAUCCCAUAACCAACCCAUAACCCCAUAACCAACCCGAUAACCCCAUAAACAAUCCCAGAACCCCAUAACCGACCCCAGAACCCCAGAACCCAUAGGUUACCCCAUAAGCAACCCCAUAACCCCAUAACCAACCCCAUAACCCCAGAACCAAUUCCAUAAUCCCAUAACCCACCCCAGAACCCCAGAACCCAUAGGUGACCUCAUAACCAACCCCAUAACCCCAUAACUGACCCCAGAACCACGGACGCUGACGGACGGACGGACGCCAGGCAGACCCCACAGCUCACCCCAAUAAGGACCCCAGGAACAACAGCCACCCCACAAACACAGAAACCCCACAACUGACC
ensembl:lncRNA